rnacentral:rRNA from 1 species
UGCAAGGUCGAGCGGAAACGAUCCCAGCUUGCUGGGAGGCGUCGAGCGGCGGACGGGUGAGUAAUGCAUAGGAAUCUGCCCGGUAGUGGGGGAUAACUUGAGGAAACUCAAGCUAAUACCGCAUACGCCCUACGGGGGAAAGCAGGGGCUCUUCGGACCUUGCGCUAUCGGAUGAGCUUAUGUCGGAUUAGCUAGUUGGUGAGGUAACGGCUUACCAAGGCGACGAUCCGUAGCUGGUCUGAGAGGAUGAUCAGCCACAUCGGGACUGAGACACGGCCCGAACUCCUACGGGAGGCAGCAGUGGGGAAUAUUGGACAAUGGGCGAAAGCCUGAUCCAGCCAUGCCGCGUGUGUGAAGAAGGCCCUCGGGUUGUAAAGCACUUUCAGUGAGGAAGAAGGCUUGUCGGUUAAUACCCGGCAGGAAGGACAUCACUCACAGAAGAAGCCCCGGCUAACUCCGUGCCAGCAGCCGCGGUAAUACGGAGGGGGCAAGCGUUAAUCGGAAUUACUGGGCGUAAAGCGUGCGUAGGCGGCUUGGUAAGCCGGUUGUGAAAGCCCCGGGCUCAACCUGGGAAUGGCAUCCGGAACUGUCAGGCUAGAGUGCAGGAGAGGAAGGUAGAAUUCCCGGUGUAGCGGUGAAAUGCGUAGAGAUCGGGAGGAAUACCAGUGGCGAAGGCGGCCUUCUGGACUGACACUGACGCUGAGGUACGAAAGCGUGGGUAGCAAACAGGAUUAGAUACCCUGGUAGUCCACGCCGUAAACGAUGUCGACUAGCCGUUGGGGUCCUUGAGACCUUUGUGGCGCAGUUAACGCACUAAGUCGACCGCCUGGGGAGUACGGCCGCAAGGUUAAAACUCAAAUGAAUUGACGGGGGCCCGCACAAGCGGUGGAGCAUGUGGUUUAAUUCGAUGCAACGCGAAGAACCUUACCUACCCUUGACAUCGUGCGAACUUGGUAGAGAUACCUUGGUGCCUUCGGGAGCGCACAGACAGGUGCUGCAUGGCUGUCGUCACCUCGU